AUGAAGUCUCAGAUGGCUGUGUGGGACAGACAUCCUGUGUGCAGUGGACGGGACGCAGGACCGGAGUGCUGGCCUCGGGCCUGUGGCGUCCAGUUUCAUUCCUUGACCUUCCCCAGCUGAGCUCAGCCUGCCGUAGCUGGAGUGAACCCCGGGCUCUGUUCCCUGACUUCACACCAGCCAACAGCGGCCUGAAGAAGACCACCCACCACUGAAAAGUUUGGGGAACGAUCCACCAGCUGCCAGUGAGACAUCCAUGAAUCGCCACAGCUAGAUUUGGGGAGGUGAGCACGCCGGAAGGCUUCACUGUAUAUGCCACGCUGGAAAAGGAGUCAUGUAUUUAAAAAUAAGUAAGUGCCAGAAGU